AUGCACACACAAAUACACACAUCUACACACAUACACAAACACACAUACAUAUACACACACAUUCAUAUCCACACAUACACAUACACACAUGCACACACAUGCACACAAGUACACACAUACACACAGGUACACACAUAUACACAUGGGUACACACACAUGCACAUAUAUGUGCAUAUGCAUAUAUACACACAUGCGCACACACUACACACAUGCGCACACACUACACACAUGCGCACACACUACACUACACACAUGCGCACGCAUAUACACAAACACACAUGCACACAUGCACCCUGGGCGGUGGGGUUGGGGGAGAAUGCUUUCUGGUCGUUUUCUGAGGGCGCGGCACAUAUAUAUGUGCAUAUGCAUAUAUACACACAUGCACACACACAUACACACAUGCGCACGCAUAUACACAAACACACAUGCACACAUGCACCCUGGGUGGUGGGGUUGGGGGAGAAUGCUUUCUGGUCGUUUUCUGAGGGCACGGCACAUAUAUAUGUGCAUAUGCAUAUAUACACACAUGCACCACACAUACACACAUGCGCACACGCUACACACAUGCGCAUGCAUAUACACAAACACACAUGCACACAUGCACCCUGGGUGGUGGGGUUGGGGGAGAAUGCUUUCUGGUCGUUUUCUGAGGGCGUGGCACAUAUAUAUGUGCAUAUGCAUAUAUACACACAUGCACACACACAUACACACAUGCACACGCAUAUACACGAACACACAUGCACACACAUACACACAAGUACACACAGACACACAGGUACACACAUAUACACAUGGGUACACACAUGCACAUAUAUAUGUGCAUAUGCAUAUAUACACACAUGCGCACACACACAUGCGCACACGCUACACACAUGCGCACGCAUAUACACGAACACACAUGCACACGGGCGCGGAUCCUGUCAUGAAAGCUUCAUCCUCAUCACUUCAUCACUACCCAAGAUGCCAUCUCCAAAUUCUGUCCCGCUCAGGAUCAGGGCUUCAGCAUAG
rnacentral:lncRNA from 13 species